rnacentral:lncRNA from 1 species
CAGCUUCAGCACAUCUCAGCUGCUGUCAAUAAACUUUCUUGUGUGUGCCAGCUUCCUAUAGCAAUGGAAGCAAACCAGAACUGCCCACUUCUUAUGACAUUUUCCAUCAAUUUUUUACAAAGCCUGAGCAUUUGAAUAGUGCUUCACUGUUUACAGAGCAAUUUCCCUUUCUCACAACCAUCCUCAUUUUACAGGUGAAGGAUCUAAAACCUGAAAAGAGGCCAAAUGAUUCCUCAAAACCACGCAAGUACGAAGUAGCAGAGCGGAUCUCAAAUCCAGAGCACUGCGUGUUUUGAAAUAUACAAAUAGUGGGAAACGAAAUCUUUGUUCUGGAUGCAGUUAUAAUUUGGAAAGCGAGGAAAUAAAUUAUAACAAGGGGAAAAAACAGACACAGAGGGAUUGAAAUGCAUAACAAUAGAGAUGAAACACGAAGAGUGAUAAAUGAAGAUUGAGUGUGCACACCUUCUGGAGGAGCCCUGAUUGAGUAUUUUAACACAGAAGUGGGUGAGAGCAAAGUUGUGUCAGAGUAAGACAAUGACACCAAGCCAGAUGGUUAUCAAAAUCCACAGGAACAAAUGAAGAGAACCAGAAAUUGCAAAUAAGAAGGACAGAGUACCAGAGAGGAGAGAGAGGUACAGAGAAUUAUGGAGGUGGCUUCCGUUGAGUAUGCAGCUAAGUAAUGAUUAAUGCAUACAUAUAAGAAACUACUGGAUGACAGAGAAAGAACCACAAGCAAUUUAAAGAAUACUACUAAAGUCAUGCCGUGUGACUUCUGAAGCUAGCUCCUAAGAAGUCCUUGCAGCUUCUGCCUGCGACUCUUAGAACACUUGCUUUGAAGGAUGCCAGAUGCUGUCUUAAAAGUCUGAGCACUCUGAAACCAUCAUGCUGUGAGGAAGCCCAAGCUAACCACAUGGGCAAAAAAGAUGCCCUCUGACUGCCACCAUUUGAGACACUCUAAUUAAGAACUGCCUCAUUGAGCCCAUGAGGCCCUGUGAAUGAUAAUAAUAAAUUGUUUUUAACCACUAUGUUUUUGGAUUUGUUAUAAGUUUAUAGAUAACAAGAAAAAGUUAUAUUAGCAUGGUAAUAAAAUUAUG